ACAGCAGCCGCCACGGUAACACGGAGGGUGCAAGCGUUAAUCGGAAUAACUGGGCGUAAAGCGCACGCAGGCGGUUUGCUAAGCUAGAUGUGAAAGCCCCGGGCUCAACCUGGGAACUGCAUUUAGAACUGGCGAACUAGGGUCUUGUAGAGGGGGGUAGAAUUCCAGGUGUAGCGGUGAAAUGCGUAGAGAUCUGGAGGAAUACCGGUGGCGAAGGCGGCCCCCUGGACAGAGACUGACGCUCAGGUGCGAAAGCGUGGGGAGCAAACAGGAUUAGAUACCCCGGUAGUCCCUGUCUCUUAUAC
rnacentral:rRNA from 1 species